GAUGAACGCUGGCGGCGUGCUUAACACAUGCAAGUCGAACGGAAAGGCUCCUGCUUGCAGGGGUACUCGAGCGGCGAACGGGUGAGUAACACGUGGGUGAUCUGCCCUGCACUUCGGGAUAAGCCUGGGAAACUGGGUCUAAUACCGGAUAGGACGAUGGUUUGGAUGCCAUUGUGGAAAGUUUUUCGGUGUGGGAUGAGCUCGCGGCCUAUCAGCUUGUUGGUGGGGUAAUGGCCUACCAAGGCGUCGACGGGUAGCCGGCCUGAGAGGGUGUACGGCCACAUUGGGACUGAGAUACGGCCCAGACUCCUACGGGAGGCAGCAGUGGGGAAUAUUGCACAAUGGGCGCAAGCCUGAUGCAGCGACGCCGCGUGGGGGAUGACGGCCUUCGGGUUGUAAACUCCUUUCGCUAGGGACGAAGCGCAAGUGACGGUACCUGGAGAAGAAGCACCGGCUAACUACGUG
rnacentral:rRNA from 1 species